UACGAAGGGGGCUAGCGUUGCUCGGAAUUACUGGGCGUAAAGCGCACGUAGGCGGCUUUCUAAGUCGGGGAGUGAAAUCCUGGAGCUCAACUCCAGAACUGCCUUCGAUACUGGAAGCUCGAGUCCGGGAGAGGUGAGUGGAACUGCGAGUGUAGAGGUGAAAUUCGUAGAUAUUCGCAAGAACACCAGUGGCGAAGGCGGCUCACUGGCCCGGUACUGACGCUGAGGUGCGAAAGCGUGGGGAGCGAACAGG
rnacentral:rRNA from 1 species